CCUGGGCCGCGCCGGUGCCACCGGGCAGUCCUCGGGGCAGGAGCCCACCGAGGGGAGACAGCGCUGGGAGCGCCUCGUACCCCGGCCAUACGCAGACUCGGCGCGCUGAAUUCCACCCCGCGGACCCGCGCCCCACAGACCUUUGUCCCACGGGUCCUGGUUCCGCAGACCCUAAUCCUGCAGACCCCUGAGCCCGCGGACCCUGGCCCAGCAGGUGGUGGUCGCGGUGGGUCCCAGCUCCGGGAGGGGACGCCCUGGGACGCGGAGGGGCGCGCGGGCGUGGGGGCCGUGGCUCAGCCCCCCUUCCUCUCGCUCCCUCCGCCUCCCUGGGCGCCCCCUCGCCCCCUUCCUCUCGCGUCCCCGGGUUCUCGCCCCUUCUUUCCUGAUGCCUGCCUGAUUUUCUGGAAAGACCGACACCCCCAGUCGCCCCCACCGCGGCUCCCGGUUCCUUCCCCUGCAGAGCAGACGGGGGCUGGAGUAGGGGCCAACAUGGGUGACAUGGGUGGACCGGCAGGGCGGUCCCUGGGGUGCCCUUUAACUCUUUCUGUGCCACAUCCCCGGUCUCUGGCCAGUCCUGUCGCGCUAAGGCCCCUCCAGCAGCGCUGACCCUGGUCCCCCACCUGCUGGUCCUGCGGCCGCGGGGCGCUCUCUCCUCCGUCCCACCCGCUCCUUCCACACCACCUCCUUUCCUGGGAGUGGAGAAGCCCCAGCCAGAACCCCUGCCUUCCCCAAGAGGCACGCUCAGAGGGACAUUCUCCCCUUCCUCACUCCCCCUAGAGCCACAUCACACCUGGCUUUGGGGCCCUAGAACCUCAGCCCGCGCCCCUCCCCUUCCACCCCCAGCCAUCCCUGCUCUGUGCCCAGUGAUCUUGGGGUCACCACAACCCCAUGGCGCCUUGAGGCCUCACCUUUCCUGGCCUCUCAGCAUCCUGGGACACUGAUGGUCAUGCCUUCCUUCUAGAAAGUUCUCUCCGAGGCUGUGGCUUCCAGGAUGAGCACUCUCCUCCUCCCACUUCCUCCCCUUCUCCUUCCCCCUCCUCCCUUCUCCCUGGAGAGGUCUUCCUCCAAGUCCCAGUCUUCUUCCCCACCCAGAGCCCCUCCCGCUGACACUUGUCUGCAGUGCCUGUCUCCGCUCCCGCUAGGAAGCCUCCCCUCCGGCAUCUCCAAUCCAUCUCUGGGUCCUGCUCCACCUGCAUUUCCCUAGACCUGUCCUGGCCACCCUCACCCUGGGACACCUCCUGCCCGUGGAGAGCUCCUCUGAUAGGUGCCGUCCUUGGUCUUGGGGGUCCUUUCUCCCUAAUUCUACUUCUGUUUUGGGGGCGUGGGAACCCAGGGUCUUAACCCCAGCCAUUCCCCCUCCCAGGGGCCACUUCCCUCUGAAGCUUAGCCCAGCUCUGUGACCCCCACAGGCCUGCCCCCACCUGGUCCUCACUCCCCUGCAUAGCCACACUGUGGGGGCUCCAUGCUUCCCAGCCCAUAGGAAGCCCUGUUCCCAGAGGGGGCCAUUCUGUUUUAGUUGGAGCAGUGGCCAGAGGCAAAGGUCAGAAGGCAAAGGUCAUAAAAGUUUGUCUCUACCUGCCAGCAUCUGCUCCUGCUACUGCAUCUUCUCCCCUCUCCACCCAAACCCUCCCUCAGCUCCUGCCCCCACCUCUCCAGAGGCACAGACAACAGGGUUCUGAUCUUGGGUCAUGGUGCUCCCCCUGCCAGCCUCAGUCCGAGACCUCUGUGAAUGGCGGUGAUGGCUAAUGGGAUGAGGGGGACCACCUCCUGGUGGCUGCAGGGACUGGGGUGAGGGUGCUGUAGGCUCUGCCUAAGUCAAGUGCCAUGGGGCUGAAGAGACGGCGCACCGGCCCUGGAGAAGAGUCCUCCCUGCCCUCCUGUGUCUGGCCUUGUUUCCUGGAGGACAGGUCCCCACGGGGCAGAGGCCCAGCAGUCCCAGGUAAGCGCUGGGUGGCCGGAGUCUGGUACCUGCAGGAAGAGAAGUAGAAGAAUAAAUUUGGAGUGUGUGAAGGGGGCAAAGCCUGAAAGGUUCGGACUCAGUGUGGGGAGGGAGAGGGAACAGAUGGGGUGGGGCACCUCCCCUGGGCUGGGUGACCCUUAUUUAUAUGACUGAAUCCAUGACAAGAUUGUUUGCUUGACCAAACUGUAGUCCGGCUUCAGAACCUUCUCACAGGCUCAUCUGCAUUCUGCCUUAUAAAAUCCAGAUUCAGCAAGAACUCUGCUAAGUCAGUUUGGCAAGAAGCCUCCAUCCCCCCAUAUCUGAUCAGGGUCCUCAGCCUCCGCCACCCCCAGGCGAUGUCUGCUUACCUUGCCUGCCUUCAGCAAGCUUCCUUUUACCUGGGUAGGGUCCUCAGCUUCCACCACCCCCAGGCGACGUCUGCUCACCCUGGCUGCCCGCAGCAAGAUUCCUGUUAUCUGGGUAGAGUCCUCAGCCUCCGCCACCCCCAGGCGAUGUCUGCUCACCUUGCCUGCCUUAAGCAAGAUUCCUGUUACCUGGGUAGAGUCCUCAGCCUCUGCUACCCACAGGCAAUGUCUGCUCACCCUGCCUGCCUUCAGCAGGCUUCCUUUUACCUGGGUAGGGUCCUCAGUUUCCGCCACCCCCAGGCAAUAUCUGCUCACCCUGGCUGCCUUCAGCAAGCUUCAUUUUACCUUGGUAGGUUCCUUAGCCUCUGCCACCUCCAGGCCGUGUCUGCUAACCCUGUCUGCCGUCAGCAAGCUUCGUUUUACCUGGGUAGGUUCCUUAGCCUCUGCCACCUCCAGGCCGUGUCUGCUAACCCUGUCUGCCGUCAGCAAGCUUCAUUUUACCUGGUCCCGAACAAAAUAUGUGUUUCAACUGCUAUCCAGUUCUGGUUUCCCUUGACAUUGACGGCACCUGCAGAACUUAAUUUCGGUGUCCAGCAAGACUUAUGGAGCCCAUACUGCCAGCGAGACUCAGAAGCCCCACCCUGGAGUUCUGCAAGGGGCUGAUGAGGAGGAGGGAUGAAAGCGACAGCCGGAAGCCAAGGCGGAGGGACCAGGGGUGGGAGGGGAGGCUGCAUCUGGGCCCAGAAAAACGUGGAAAUGCAGGAAGGGAAACAGGAGGGUGGUGGGGCUGCCCCUCGGAGAGACCUUCUGUGAGCAUUAAAGGGCAUUUUUUUUCCA